AUGGACACUACCAAAACUGCACCAGGAGUUAUUCAACAGUGCACCUGGACCUCAUGCAGAAGAGAAUGGAAAAUUCAUAGGAUCAGCAACAGGACAUGCUUCGAUAGAGCACAAUCAUACAGCCUGGAAGAAAUUAAUUGUGCCACUUAUAAAAGGCCAAAGAAGAGAUUAAUAAAAAAAAAAUCCAUUGAUUACAAAAGGUCUAAAUUGCAAUCUCUCAAAGUGUUAAAUCAUUAUUCUCUAUCAGAGGCUGCAACUGCCUGCCUUCUGCUGUGAAGAGCACCAGGUUCAAUUUGCACACCUUUUGGAUUUAAAAUGGUAUUUACAAGGAUUAAGUUCUCAAAACCCAAAUAAUUUCACUGUAAUUUCUGAAUCAGCACAGUCCCAUUAACCCAGCAGGAGGAACUGGGCGGCAAAAUACAUAUUCUCUGUCAAGUAAUACAGCAAAGUCAGGAGAAAAUGUCCUGCCUCACAUAUGGUAUAGCUCAACCCACAGAAUUUUCUGAGACCUGAGCAAAUUAGCUAAUAGUAAUUUAAUUAUAAACACAGUAUUUUUAACAUAUGAAAUGAAAAUCAGGAAGAAAUAAUAUGUUUAUUAAUACAGAUUUUAUAUUUUAAAAAAAAAUUGGUUUUUUUGGAGGUCAAGUCCGCCUUCAGGUCUGAAACCAAACCCUUUUCACUGAUUACAGAGUAGCAGUUCUGAAGAAAUGUUCUUACCUUGCACCACUUCCUAUACAGCAAAAAUGGAAAAAAAGUUUUUCCUCUUUCUCAGUUCUCAUUAUUUAAGAGAAAAAAAAAACCAAACCAAGAAUCAAUUACACACGAGGAUGAAUAAUGCAUAAACAGCCAAUGAACCUAAAAGAAAAUCAUACAGUACUUCAGCACUUAGAAGCAGAAGAACCCCAGCAGUUACAGGCUUGUGCACCUUCCCUGCAUCUCAUAGCUGCCAUUUUCUGUCAUCUGCCUCACUCCUUCUCACUGAACCUUAGGAGCCCUUGGGUUUUCUUUCAGUAUCAUUUCUUCUUCCAAAUGGUUCUCUACAAUUUGCUUUAUGUAUCCCAGUAAUCUUUCCUUCUCAUCCUUUGAAUCCACCAUGAUAUACUGCACAUUAACAUAAAGUUUUCCUGUAUUUCAACAAUUUUUUUCUCAUUUUUUAUUUAUGCUUCUAUAACUGUCUGGGUUUUUUUCCACCUUAGACAAUACCUAUUUCAUGCCAUAAUGGAAAGGCUGAGAUAUAGAAGUUCCUUGGUGACUUUUAGAGGUAUUUUACAAGUGCACAGAAAUUAAAUAAAAUUGCUUUUAGGUAUAGAACUUUUCUUUCC
rnacentral:lncRNA from 1 species